rnacentral:rRNA from 1 species
GAAUUGACGGGGGCCCGCACAAGCAGUGGAGUAUGUGGUUUAAUUCGAAGCAACGCGAAGAACCUUACCAGGUCUUGACAUCGUGCGCAUAACCUAGAGAUAGGUGAAGCCCUUCGGGGCGCAUAGACAGGUGGUGCAUGGUUGUCGUCAGCUCGUGUCGUGAGAUGUUGGGUUAAGUCCCGCAACGAGCGCAACCCUUAUUACUAGUUGCUACGCAAGAGCACUCUAGUGAGACUGCCGUUGACAAAACGGAGGAAGGUGGGGAUGACGUCAAAUCAUCAUGCCCCUUAUGACCUGGGCUACACACGUACUACAAUGGCACUUUAACAGAGGGCUGCUACAUCGCGAGGUGAAGCGAAUCCCGAAAAAGUGUCUCAGUUCGGAUUGCAGGCUGCAACUCGCCUGCAUGAAGUCGGAAUUGCUAGUAAUCGCGGAUCAGCAUGCCGCGGUGAAUACGUUCCCGGGCCUUGUACACACCGCCCGUCACACCAUGGGAGUCGGUAACACCCGAAGCCAGUAGUCUAACCGCAAGGGGGACGCUGUCGAAGGUGGGAUUGAUGACUGGGGUGAAGUCGUAACAAGGUAGCCGUAUCGGAAGGUGCGGCUGGAUCACCUCCUUUCUG